ensembl:lncRNA
UAUUUGGGGGGGGGGGGACUUAUUUUAUUUAUUUGUAUAUAUAAAUUAUACGGUUUUAUAUAUAGCCUAUGCACGUUAUAUAUUUAUAUUACGGCUGCUUGUGGUUGGCGAACAGUAGCUAGCUACUACGCCACAGUAGUAUAAAUAAACAAGCUAUCCAAACAAAAUGAAAAAUUUCCAUUCAAGAGUAUUUCUCAAUGAAAUGGACUUUGACCGUGGCGGUGGGAGCUCGAGCAUCUCGGCUUCUUCGGCUGCUGCGGAUCUCUGUCACGGUGCGAACAUGUCGGGACAUGCCUGCGUGACGUGCGUGUCCCCGCGAGUAAAUACACUCGACUGGCCAAGUGUGCCAGUCAACUUCAACCACAAGAAAAACUGAACCGAAUUUAACCAAAGCCACAGGAGACUGUUACUUUAAUAGGACAGAGAAUUAAGUGACUGCUGAGAUUGUCCCUGGCGCAAUAUAUGCGAUGGAUUGCUCGAUGGACGAGUAUUACCACACCGUUCAAUGCCACAAAUGCCCUCAAUGUCCACCUGGCCAAGAGCUCAAAGAGGACUGUGGUUAUGGUGCAGGCGUGUCAGCUGUGUGUGGCGUAUGUGACGUUCGGUGGUUUAAGGAAGACUGGAGCUCUCACCCUUGUGCACUGUGACAGAACUGCCGGAGACUCAAUAGACACCAAAUCAAGCGCUGCACACACACAGACAACACAGUGUGUGGAAACUGCCUCCCUGGGUAAGACUUUCUUACUCACUCACUCACUCACUCACUCACUCACUCACACUCACACACACACACACACACACACACACACACACACAAAACAAAACAACCUUUAUGCAACCUGA